AUUGAACGCUGGCGGCAGGCCUAACACAUGCAAGUCGAGCGGUAGAGAGGUGCUUGCAUCUCUUGAGAGCGGCGGACGGGUGAGUAAUGCCUAGGAAUCUGCCUAGUGGUGGGGGGAUAACGUUCGGAAACGGACGCUAAUACCGCAUACGUCCUACGGGAGAAAGCGGGGGGAUCUUCGGACCUCGCGCCAUUAGAUGAGCCUAGGUCGGAUUAGCUAGUUGGUGAGGUAAUGGCUCACCAAGGCGACGAUCCGUAACUGGUCUGAGAGGAUGAUCAGUCACACUGGAACUGAGACACGGUCCAGACUCCUACGGGAGGCAGCAGUGGGGAAUAUUGGACAAUGGGCGAAAGACCUGAUCCAGCCAUGCCGCGUGUGUGAAGAAGGUCUUCGGAUUGUAAAGCACUUAAGUUGGGAGGAAGGGUAGUAACCUAAUACGUUGCUACUUUGACGUUACCGACAGAAUAAG
rnacentral:rRNA from 1 species